rnacentral:lncRNA from 1 species
ACAAAGGAGCUCAAGUUACAAAACGAUAUACACUAACAUCCAAUGUUCUAUUGUUUAUCUAUGACUUUGUCUAAAUUGAAAAAGAAUCUGCUGUGUUUGAGAAUGGACUGAAGAAAAUAGUUUGCUAUAAUAUAAUCCAAGAUAGAUUUAUACGUGUGUCUCUCUCUCGAGGCCUGAGUUGGGAAGUCUUAACACAAAGGAAGGUGACAUGCACACAUUGAGACGUAUCUUUUUAAGCCAACGGUCUUAAAGAGGUCAUUCACUUCUGACCAGGGGUGUGUCAGGCUGAGAGCAACAUGAGCAUUCUUUAGUUCUCAGGAAAGUCAGUCUAGAAAUACUGGCAACAACCGCAGCCAGGACACCGUGAAGCUCUGUGUUUAUUCUGUUUCUCUGGGACGGUGGCAGCUGUGAGUUUCAGAUGCCAUCUGCCGAAGGCAAAUGCCUAGUUAACUGUGCUAUUCUCGAUCUCUUCACAGUCCACAGUUCUACCAACCUCUCUCUACUUUGCAAUCCCCCUCACUGCUGGCUUCCUUCUCCAACAGGCCUGAAACACAAGCACAACACACUGAAGCUACCAUGGAUCCCCUUGGCCCAGCAGCUGUUACACCCUAAAUGAUAUUCUCUUCUAGCACUUCCUUACCCUGUGGUCUUAAUCUGAAGGCAUCUGGACUCUUCUUCCUAUUGGUAGAAGGUACAUAACUAUAUACCAAUGUUGUAUAUAUUGUUGAAAUAAUGCUAUGUAUUUUCAGCAUUUGCAAGGGAAAUGG